UACGUAGGGGGCAAGCGUUGUCCGGAUUUACUGGGCGUAAAGAGCGUGUAGGCGGCCACGCAGGUCCGUUGUGAAAACUGGGGGCUCAACCUUCAGACGUCGACGGAAACCGUGUGGCUAGAGUCCGGAAGAGGAGAGUGGAAUUCCUGGUGUAGCGGUGAAAUGCGCAGAUAUCAGGAAGAACACCAUGGCGAAGGCGGCUCACUGGUCCGGUACUGACGCUGGAGGUGCGAAAGCGUGGGGAGCAAACAGG
rnacentral:rRNA from 1 species